rnacentral:tRNA from 1 species
GCCCGGAUGGCGGAAUUGGUAGACGCGCCAGACUUAAAAUCUGGUUUCCAGUACUGGAAGUACGGGUUCGACCCCCGUUCCGGGUA